rnacentral:rRNA from 1 species
UACACUCCUACGGGAGGCAGCAGUGGGGAAUUUUGGACAAUGGGCGCAAGCCUGAUCCAGCCAUGCCGCGUGCGGGAAGAAGGCCUUCGGGUUGUAAACCGCUUUUGUCAGGGAAGAAAAGGUUCUGGCUAAUACCUGGGACUCAUGACGGUACCUGAAGAAUAAGCACCGGCUAACUACGUGCCAGCAGCCGCGGUAAUACGUAGGGUGCAAGCGUUAAUCGGAAUUACUAGGCGUAAAGCGUGCGCAGGCGGUUAUGCAAGACAGAGGUGAAAUCCCCGGGCUCAACCUGGGAACUGCCUUUGUGACUGCAUGGCUAGAGUACGGUAGAGGGGGAUGGAAUUCCGCGUGUAGCAGUGAAAUGCGUAGAUAUGCGGAGGAACACCGAUGGCGAAGGCAAUCCCCUGGACCUGUACUGACGCUCAUGCACGAAAGCGUGGGGAGCAAACAGGAUUAGAUACCCUAGUAGUCC